AGUAAAGAGGUUUGUUCUGCCAUGACAUUUCACUUUGACAUGCCUGCACUGGUGCAAGAAAAAAACAACACUAGGGGGUAGUUACACUAUGACUAUGUAUUCCUAUGUGCAACAAACAAAAACCACACAAACUUACAAUCCUCAAAGCAGAAGAGAUGGAUCAGAAGCAAACAAAAGAUAUGGGAAAGGUUACAAAGAGCCAUGGUGAUGUUCUGGUCAGGAAACUGUGAACAAGGAGGAACAGGGAAAGUGUAAGCGAAAGUGGAACAUGUUGGGGUCAAUAACCAAUCAGUUAGCACAGUAUAGAAUCAAGAACCAGAAGAGUAGUCAUGGAAACAGGCCGGGUCAAUAACCAAUCAGUCAGCACGGUACAGAAUCAGGAUCCAGAAGCAUAGUUAUAAAACAGGCAAAGGUCAGUUCAGGCAGCAAUACAGCAGUGGUCAAGGGCAGGCAAGGGUCAAGGAACAGUAAACCAGACAAGAAGAGCACCCAGGAAUGAUCAAGAAUAGACCUACGUUGGGCAAUGGGAAACUGGAUGAGACACCUAUAAAUAUUUGAAUUUCGCACCAGUGCAACGAUGUCACGACCAGUAUAAAAGAUGCAUGUGCUGCUUGCAAAGUCAAUGGCGCACAGAGAGGGAGGAUAUGAUGUCACUGACAUAAUAUUGAGGAGGAUGUAGCUUCAUCUUAUCAAUUUGCCUGGUCUAAGGUGGUGAAGGAAACUUUGGCGAAAGAGUUGUGGAAUUGCUUACUGAGAUCUGCUUGCAAGAGGGGGCCCCAUUAUAGUUGGUCUAGGUCAGGACUGUCCAGCUGGAGGCCUGCGGGUUGAAUAUGGUCCUCCAAAGGAUUUGGCUCGAAGGCUCCAAAGACUUCACUGUACUACAAUAUUAUUUUAAUUAUUUCUCUAUCUUGAAUAUGCUGUAUGUGAAAUAAUCAUCCCACUGCAAGUAAUAUAUUGUACAACACUGGUCUAGGUGGAAGAUGCUGUAUUACUUGUUUUUAUACCGGUUUAUAGAACCCAAAACUUGCUAACACAUUACCAGAUACAUCAUAGUCUGAAGAUAACCAAGUAUAAUUACCAUCAGAACUGUAAAUUGCAUGAAAAUUAUAUUACCAUAGCACUAUACUAACUAUGUUUAUACAGUCUAGGAAACAGUUGCAGCAGAUGUAUAUAUGGGGCAUUGUAAGCACCACAAUACAUAGAAAAUGGAUUUUCCAGCUGUGAUGAGAUUGUAAAUUGCUCUCUAUAUUGUUUUAAAAAAAACAAAACAAAGCAAAACAAUCACUGCAUAACUAAAUAUGUUUAACCAAAACAGGAAAUUAUCAUAUAGAUUUUAUUGUGCCUAGGGUGUGAUAAAAUCUGGCUGAUGAAAAUCGGUUUCGGUUUCAUCUGACUAUAGUGAUAAACACCAUUGGUGGCAUAUUAUAUUUAAUAUAUUUUAGAUCUAGACAUCUAGAAGGAAAUAUGCUUGGUUAUAAUACUUUGUUUUUCUAUGCCACUGUACAUGCAGCAUUUUAUCAAGGGGCUGAUGAGUCAUAAGGAAAAUUGCUAUCUCCCAGGUGCUUGAAAAAUAGUAUCACAAGAUAACACAGGCAGCACAAUUAUAAGGCAAUAAAGGAAAAAAAAUAAUUAUAUAUGGUAUAAUUAUAAUAUUGUAUAACAGUCGCCCAUAGAGACCAAUAGUAGGUAGCAACUAGUAUUCACCAGUAAAAGAAACUGGAUAUCUAAGCCAAACCUUAUAAUUGGUUUAUAAUGCCCAGUACAUUUUCAGAGAUAGACUCACAUAUUGAAUUUAUAUAGGGGUAUUUAACCCUUAGUUGUGCUCCUACCUUUCACUAUCAUGCUACAGUCCCUGUCAUCUAUAUACUUACAGCUUCAAUAGCUGAUCAUCAUUAUAGGCGUUUUGAUUAAUCCUGCUGCAAACUGGUACCAUAUAUCCCCCCUCUCUUUCACUUUCUAGAGUACCAACAUAGUUUCUGUUGUUCUACAACAAACUUUAACAGGACUAACCCCCAUUAAAUACAACUGCCCCUCUAUCAGCUCCCGGCAGCACAAUAAGGACCCAAGGAUAAAAAUAGACUUCAGCUAAGAUCCUGUAUAGUCUAAACAUUUAACAACCUCAGUCUGAGAGUAUAAUUAGAACAAAAUGGAUAAUUAGCAUAUUAACCAAAGUGGUGCUAAUAGAGUAACUAAAAAAAAUAGAUUUUACAGUGCUUCUUAGUGAUGUCAUGACGCUCGGCAUCAAAGCCGUCAAACACCAGCAUCACAGGGACCGGGAACCCGGAAGUGCGCGUCUGCGCACCAACAGUCUGGGAGAGACGCCUUACACAUGAGCCUCUAAAGUGGCAAUUUGCUCACUACCACAGCAGAGGUAAGCUGUUUGGAACUCUUGUUCCAAAUCUGCAUAUAUAUGGCGGACUGUGCUCUGGGUUAAACCUUCAAUCUUGCUAACAUUCAUUAACCCAGUUACAGAUCAAAAAUAGGAAUAAAUUAGGGUUUAGAACAAACUUUUGACCUAGUUUGAACCUCCUUUAGUUUGAACUCCUGUGUUUGUAACUGGACAUACAGAGGCCCCACUUGCUAGCACAUAUAUACUGAAAGGAGUGUUGAUGAUACUAAAUGCAUCCAUACUAGCUGGAUUUUUACUAGCUGGAUUUUUUAGAAGUGCCCCUAAUCCUUUACAUGAUCUGCUAACGCAACCUAGAAAUUGCUUGCCUCGAUUGCUUACUCCACAGAAUCCUGUGUUCUGCUGCUACAAAGACAGGAGUUAAAGGAGAAGGAAUACCAUUUUACACUUGGGGUGGCAAAAGCUAGGCACCCCCAAGUGAUUACUUUUACUUACCUGACACCCCGGGCCAGUGCUCCUAUCAGGAGAAAAUUGCACCGGCCCAGGGUCCUUCCAGCGAAGACCACAGAUCGAUCCUCUUCCUGAUUCUUCUUUUAUUUAAAUUUAAUUUAAGUAAAUAUUUUAAUAACGCCAAGUCACACUGAAAGUCUCAGUUCAAACUUUCCAUUCAGUUUCAUAUAAAAUAAAAACAUGGCAUAAAUGUAUGAUCACCAAAUAUACACAUUCCACUGACUUCUAUAGCUUUCAAUUUAGAUUUUUCAUAUUUUUUUUUGUUUAAAAAUAAAUCUCAAUGAA